CCUACAUCAGCAUGAUGGAAAUGAGCUUAGCUACUGAUUCAGUUCCAGCAGAACAUUUUUGAAGCUAAAUAGCCAUCUUAUCAUCAGAGAGAUACUCGACUUUCAUAAAGGAAAAAUAUAGAAUAAAAAUCCCAAAUAAAGAGGAUUCUCAACUUCCCAGGAUCCCAGGAACAUAGGAAGCUGCCAUAUCCUGCAUCAGACCAUUGGUCUAUCUAGCUCAGUACUGUCUUCACAGAAGGUUACACGCAGGAAUCUCUCUCAGCCCAUCUUGGAGAAGCCAGGGAGGGAACCUGAAACCUUCUGCUCUUCCCAGAGUGGCUCCAUCCCCUGCGGGGAAUAUCUUACAGUGCUCACACUUCUAGUCUCCCAUUCAUAUGAAACCAGGGUGGACCCUGCUUAGCUAAGGUGACAAGUCAUGCUUGCUACCACAAGACCAACUCUCCUCUAUUGUUCUGUUGGGGUGGGGGGCUAGGAUGAGAAAUAUGUGGCUCUGGUUUUUCAUCCUUAUGAAACUACGGUUCCCAGGAUUUGGGGGAGAAGGCCGUGACAUGACAAAUAAAAGCAAGUUAAGUGUGUUGACAUGUGCAUAUGUAUAUACUUAUCUGGUAGUGCUAUCAUUGCCUGUGUUUCAUAUGCUUCUGUUUCAUAGCAUAGAAAAGUACUUUGAUCACUUAAAAUAUAUUGUUUUUUGAUUAACAAAAAAAUUGGAAACUAUCCAUCAAAACAUCAAUCAUAUGUUUGCUCAGAAGAUUCCAUAUGUAGACCAAAUAUGUCCAUGUGGCUCUGAACUGGUGGAAAUUGCUCUUUUUACCGUGAUCUGUGAAAAACUCUUAUACUACUUGUUUUAGUAAAUACAGCAGGAUGUUGGGUUGAUUCUUAUGUAUAUUAUCUUUUGGCUGCUCAGAAUUCAUAUAAUAUUGCUAAAAAUUUGCAUUUCGGCUUGUAGAAUCCAUCGUGAAAUAACUUUACACUGCAUCAAUGUCUGAUAAUGUUGACUAAAUAUUGUAGAUUAAUGGAUAUAGCAGCAGCAACAACAACAAUAAUUAAUAGUAAUUUGUAAUAGUAAUUUGUUUGGUAUUUGAGAGCAGUAUGCUCCAUUAUAUUUUAUUGUAUCUGUAUUGUAUUGCUGUUCUAAGACUGUAAAUAAAAUCUGAUCUGA